rnacentral:rRNA from 1 species
UACAGAGGUGGCAAGCGUUGUUCGGAAUUACUGGGCGUAAAGGGCGCGUAGGCGGCCAUCUAAGUCAGACGUGAAAUCCCCGGGCUUAACCUGGGAACUGCGCUUCUAACUGGCAGGCUUGAGUGUGGCAGAGGGGGGUGGAAUUCCACGUGUAGCAGUGAAAUGCGUAGAGAUGUGGAGGAACACCGAUGGCGAAGGCAGCCCCCUGGGCUAACACUGACGCUCAUGCACGAAAGCGUGGGGAGCAAACAGG